rnacentral:rRNA from 1 species
GAUGAACGCUGGCGGCGUGCCUAAUACAUGCAAGUCGAGCGAACAGACGAGGAGCUUGCUCCUCUGACGUUAGCGGCGGAAGGGUGAGUAACACGUGGAUAACAUACCUAUAAGACUGGGAUAACUUCGGGAGACCGGAGCUAAUACCGGAUAAUAUAUUGAACCGCAUGGUUCAAUAGUGAAAGACGGUUUUGCUGUCACUUAUAGAUGGACCCGCGCCGCAUUAGCUAGUUGGUAAGGUAACGGAUUACCAAGGCGACGAUGCGUAGCCGACCUGAGAGGGUGGUCGGCCACAUUGGCACUGAGACACGGUCCAGACUCCGACGGGAGGCCGCGGUCGAGAAUCUUACGCUAUGCGCCAGAGCCUAACGUUGCACCGCCGCGUGAGUGAUGAGGGUCUGCGGAUCGUAGAACUCUGUUAUUAGGGAAGAACAAAUGUGUUAGUAACUAUGCACGUCUUGACGGUACCUAAUCAGAAAGCCCCGGCUAACUCCGUG